rnacentral:sRNA from 1 species
GGCUCCUGUCCACUCUGUUUGACGCCUCCCUGUUAAAGACUUCGAGCCGCGGUAACGCGGCUCUUUUUUUUGCCGCCA